GCGCCUGUAGCUCAGUUGGAUAGAGCACCAGUCUUCGGAACUGGGUGUCGGGAGUUCGAAUCCCCCCAGGCGCG
rnacentral:tRNA from 1 species